UACGAAGGGGACUAGCGUUGUUCGGAAUUACUGGGCGUAAAGCGCACGUAGGCGGAUUUGUAAGUCAGGGGUGAAAUCCCGGGGGCUCAACCUCGGAACUGCCUUUGAUACUGCAAAUCUCGAGUCCGAUAGAGGUGGGUGGAAUUCCUAGUGUAGAGGUGAAAUUCGUAGAUAUUAGGAAGAACACCGGUGGCGAAGGCGGCCCACUGGAUCGGUACUGACGC
rnacentral:rRNA from 1 species